rnacentral:lncRNA from 1 species
CGGGGACUCUUAAAAAAUUUUGCGAACUAAACAAGGCCUAAUUAACAUAUGUAAACACUUUUAUUAUUAUCUAAUUUUUCAUAUUUUUUCUUUCUCUUUUUUCUAUAUAUAAGUUUUCACUUUUUUCUUUAUUUUUUUCUUUCUUUUUUGCUUUAUUUUUUUCUCUGUCUUAGUUAGCGGCCGGCGCGCUCGCGGGGGGCUCGUCCGCCGGUGGGGGGCGCGCGCGGCCGCCGGCGUAAGGCGUGGGAUCCAGGGCCCCGCGCGCCACUGCCCCUGCCGGUGGGCGUUGUCGGGCGCCGAGGGCGCGCCCGCGCGUGGCGGCGGCAGGCGAGCUUGCGAGCUCACGAGGCGGCGGGCGCGCGCAAACGAAGAGAGAGGGAGUAGAGGCGCGCGCAAACAAGAAAGAGAGAGAGGGAGUACGGCGGGGUGGUGCUCGGGCUGGUGCUCGGAGUUGGGUUGACGGCGGCGAGCAAGGACGAUGACGACGGCGGCGCGACGUUGGACGAAGAAGACGGAGCGGCGCGGCGGCGGUUAGGGCAAGAUCGACGAGGGCGCGGAGAAGAAGGAGAAAGAAGGGCUCUGCCCUUUAUAGGGCAGGGCACUAAAGGGUCUUAGUCCCGGUUCCAGCCUGGAACCGGGGCUAAAGAUCCUUUAGUCUCGGGCCGUGGCUCGGUCCGGAACUAAAGGUGUUUCACCAAAUUAUAGCGCUUUUCAGGCGCCAUAAUUUGGUUUCUCUUUUUUAUUUUCUCUUUACAUUGUUAAAUGCAUUAUAAAUUAAAUAAAUCUGAUAAAAUUGUUAAAAAAUACACAUUAAUUUUAUUGUGCUCUACUCUUCAGUAUAAAAAUCCUUAACAUAAUUGUUUUUAAAAAUUUCAUAUUAUUCAAAAUAAAUGUUAUUCAUAAUGAAUAUUGUGAUAAUGCAAAAAUAUAAUGGCCAACUAAAUUUUAAAAAAUUAUUGGCUUUAGACAGAUACUUGGUUUUUGGGUCAUUUGGACGUUAAACUUUUGUUUCUUUAAUAAUAAUUAUACAAAUGCGCGACAUUGAUUGUAUAAAUUUGAAAUUUAAAUUUUUGAAAAGUUAUAAGAUGGAUUUUGGAACCAUAGAUGGCCUCAAAUGGAAAACUCAUGAAUACAAAGUUUGAUCCACUCAUCAAGACCUACAUUUUCUCUAAUGGUCACAUUUUCAUUUGAAAAAGUUUGGACCACUCAAUUUUAAAAUUUGAAAUAAUUCAUAGCGAAACGCUAAUUUUCAGAACCAUGGAUUGCCUCAAAUGAAAAACUCAUGAAUACCAAUAUUGCUCCACUUAUCAAGAUCUAUAUUUCAUAUAUAGACCAUUUUUGUAUUUGACAAAGUACUCGCAAAGUGUAGUUCAAAAUUAACACUUUCCACGUAUAGUUUCAUAUAGUUUGUGUGAGAUUUA